rnacentral:rRNA from 1 species
AGUGAACGCUGGCGGCAGGCCUAACACAUGCAAGUCGAGCGGCAGCGCGGGGGCAACCCUGGCGGCGAGCGGCGGACGGGUGAGGAAUUCGUCGGAAUCUGCCUUCUUGUGGGGGAUAACGUAGGGAAACUUACGCUAAUACCGCAUACGGCCUACGGGAGAAAGUGGGGGACCGCAAGGCCUCACGCAGAAAGAUGAGCCGACGACCGAUUAGCUGGUUGGUGGGGUAAAGGCCGACCAAGGCGACGAUCGGUAGCUGGUCUGAGAGGAUGAUCAGCCACCAUGGGGCGGAGACACGGCCCAGACUACUACGGGAGGCAGCAGUGGGGAAUAUUGGACAAUGGGCGGAAGCCUGAUCCAGCCAUGCCGCGUGUGUGAAGAAGGCCUUCGGGUUGUAAAGCACUUUUGUCCGGAAAGAAAUCCCUGGAGCUAAUACCUUCGGGGGAUGACGGUACCGGAAGAAUAAGCACCGGCUAACUUCGUG